UUUCAUUCGCAAAAUGGAGCCCAGAAGAGUGAUGGAUCCGAUGCUUGUCUCUCGUGUUAGGAUUUUCUAUAUAAUGUCACUGCUUGCUCGAUCACCAGAGCUACAAUCAAUUAAGGUUUCUCCGGUUGAGCGCUUUCUUGAGAAGCCAAAUAAUGGACGUAGUAGAAGCUCUAGCCGUGGUAGCAGCCUUGGAAGAUCUCCAGUUCAUUACGAUUCUAGUUCAAGGAAUAUGCUGGUUGAGGACCAAAUUUAAGGUUCAAAGUAAAUAUAAAACCAGAAAAGAAGUCAAAGUUGUCAUCAGUAGUUCUGAAGAUACGUGGAAUUGAUCAGGAGACCUGGCGACAGCAUAUUGCAGGUGGAAAGCUCAAGGAAAUAACCGAAGAAGCAAAAAUUUAUUCAAUUGGAAAAAAGGCUCUUGCGGCCCUUUUUGUUCAUACCCCUGCUGGCGCGCUCCAG